UCCUGACCCCACCCGUCCUGUGUGGUGCCCGCUUUGCUCGCAACACUACUGCUGGAUGCACGGUAGAUGGAGCUCUCUCUGUGUAUACCUGAUUCCACACACGUACAAACAAACAGUUGACUGUCUAUGGUUACAAAGUGGAGUUGGUGUGACAGCGACAUCUGUCAUCCGUCAAGCUCUGUUCACCACAAGAUGGCGAUAAGACCUCACAUCAAAUCCAAAAACUCCCCUCAGCUCUGACCACGAAUGGUUCGCAUGUAACAGGAUAAUAAUUCCUCCUCUAAGUGAAAGGGACACCGGAUAUCCGGACCAUGGGUUGUAACGGGAAGCCAGACCGCCUGAGCUACGGUAAAUGGAUCCGAACAUGAUCCAUGUCUUGAAGUGCACCAAGAUUUCAACAUGUUUUGUUCACUUCUGCUAUUUUGUUGUAGAUGACAGUGAAAAGUGACGUGCAGAAAUGACUUGCAAGUGUCGCUGCCCAUAUCUUGUGUAACACCAGGCCAUCCUUGCAAAAUGACAAGAGUUCAUUUCAAUACACUCCGUGUGUGAAAGUUUAAUUGAUGCGUUACGCAGAGGGAUCAAAUAUUUCCUUACUUGAUACAGAGCAAUGUAAUGAUGUAUAAUUAACAAAUCAAUUUAUACAUUAAUAUGUAAAUUAAGAACUUUACUUUCCACUUGUUUUUUUUUAACACAAUUUUAGGAACCUGACGGGAAAAAAGCUGAAUGUUUAAGUGCUGUUUGGGACAAAAUUGUGAUUGAGAUG